rnacentral:misc_RNA from 1 species
GAUGAAGAACGUAGUGAAAUGCGAUAAGUAAUGUGAAUUGCAGAAUUCAGUGAAUCAUCGAAUCUUUGAACGCACAUUGCGCCCGUCAGUAUUCUGGCGGGCAUGCCUGUUCGAGCGUCAUUACAACCCUCAGGCCCCCGGGCCUGGCGUUGGGGAUCGGCGGAGCCCCCCGUGGGCACACGCCGUCCCCCAAAUGCAGUGGCGGUCCCGCCGCAGCUUCCAUCGCGUAGUAGCUAACACCUCGCGACUGGAGAGCGGCGCGGCCACGCCGUAAAACACCCAACUCUUCUGAAGUUGACCUCGAAUCAGGUAGGAAUACCCGCUGAACUUAAGCAUAUCAAUAAGCGGAGGA